AGUGAACGCUGGCGGCAGGCCUAACACAUGCAAGUCGAGUGGCAGCGCGGGGGCAACCCUGGCGGCGAGCGGCGGACGGGUGAGGAAUUCGUCGGAAUCUGCCUUUUUGUGGGGGAUAACGUAGGGAAACUUACGCUAAUACCGCAUACGUCCUACGGGAGAAAGUGGGGGACCGCAAGGCCUCACGCAGAAAGAUGAGCCGACGACCGAUUAGCUAGUUGGUGGGGUAAAGGCCCACCAAGGCGACGAUCGGUAGCUGGUCUGAGAGGAUGAUCAGCCACACUGGGACUGAGACACGGCCCAGACUCCUACGGGAGGCAGCAGUGGGGAAUAUUGGACAAUGGGCGCAAGCCUGAUCCAGCCAUGCCGCGUGUGUGAAGAAGGCCUUCGGGUUGUAAAGCACUUUUGUCCGGAAAGAAAUCCCUGGAGCUAAUACCUUCGGGGGAUGACGGUACCGGAAGAAUAAGCACCGGCUAACUUCGUG
rnacentral:rRNA from 1 species